GUGGGGAAUAUUGCACAAUGGGGGAAACCCUGAUGCAGCCAUGCCGCGUGUGUGAAGAAGGCCUUCGGGUUGUAAAGCUCUGUCUUUGGGGACGAUAAUGACGGUACCCAAGGAGGAAGCCACGGCUAACUACGUGCCAGCAGCCGCGGUAAUACGUAGGUGGCAAGCGUUGUCCGGAUUUACUGGGCGUAAAGGGAGCGUAGGUGGAUAUUUAAGUGGGAUGUGAAAUACUCGGGCUUAAACUGGGUGCUGCAUUCCAAACUGGAUAUCUAGAGUGCAGGAGAGGAAAGUAGAAUUCCUAGUGUAGCGGUGAAAUGCGUAGAGAUUAGGAAGAAUACCAGUGGCGAAGGCGACUUUCUGGACUGUAACUGACACUGAGGCUCGAAAGCGUGGGGAGCAAACAGGAUUAGAAACCCGAGUAGUCC
rnacentral:rRNA from 1 species